rnacentral:lncRNA from 1 species
GAUAUAUUAAAAACUUAUUUGUGCUUACUAAUAGAAUUAGUACAAGAGAAUGCUUCGAAGUAGAAGAAAAAUCUAGCAGCAUGUGGAGAUGGUACUAAAUACUAUGGAAGCCCUUGUCUGAUCAUCUGGCCCUAUUUAUCAGAAAAAGAAUUGUGUUUUCUAAAAAUAAAAGAAAUGGUACAGAUAUGGAUCCUCCAACUUUACAAACCACGUAGAGAACAGGUAAUUGAAACUCUUCAGCUUUGGUCAGGAAAGUAACUAGUGCAGGUGGUAAUGUAAAUGUCACUGUCGGGAAGAGGUUAGAUAAUCUUUUAAUUUCAAUGGUUGGAAAGACAAUUUUCUCAUUUGGGCCAUUGACUUGAGUGUCACACAAAAUUAAAACUUAAAUGUGAUAGUAAGAUACUGGUUUACUGAUAAUCCAGGCUCAAUUUUUUAAGACUUUAUAUUUUUUAAAGCAGUUUAAGGUUUACAGCAAAAUUGAGAGAAAGUAGUUUCCAUAUAUCCAGGCUCAAUUUUAAGUCAGUCUUUUAACUAGGAUACACCAGAGCUUUCAUAUUUAUAGUAAAAAUAGAUUAGCUUGUAAGAGUUGGUAGAAAUGAUUUUCUACAGCUCAUGAUAACUGCCCAAUUAAUGAUGUGCCUUUAUUACUUACUAUUUACAGAACUGUGUAGAUGAAACACAUUAAAUUGAACUGAGUGAAUAUUUGGUUACCUAAUAUGACUUGCAUUUAGAGGAAGUCUUAAAUCUUUCUCUUGACAUUAUUAGAAUAAUUUGGCUAAGCAUCAGGUGAUAUGAUGAUAUAACCAGGUACUUUAAUAUAAUGGGAAUGUAAAUAUUAUCAUUAUGGUACUUCACUAGGUAUGUUAUAUUUUCAUAACUUUUUUACUUGCAAAUUUUCACUAAAAGCGAAUUGAAAUUGAAGGAAGGGUGAGGGUAAAAAGCGUGAUCUAAACUAUGUAUGCAUCAUCUUUUUAUCCUUUCAGUGACUUUUAGUCAUUUUUAUGAUACUUACCAACAGUUAUUAAAGAUCUUUGCUUCAAAUUGAGUUGCACCAGCAUUCUGCAGCAAAGUUGAUUGGAAUCUAAACCUUUCUGCUUAAGUAAUUGUUUAGGGCUAAUAAUGAUUUAAAAGUAAUUAAAAUGAUGUUUACAGUACUGCUUCCUUUUUCUUUUAAUUUCUAGGUGGUAGCUAAAUCACUUUUAGCUCUAGAGAAGGACCAAGAUGACUCAGCCCCAGAUGUUUUCUUGACUUUCCCAUA